GACGAACGCUGGCGGCACGCUUAACACAUGCAAGUCGAACGAGAGAAGAGAAGCUUGCUUUUCUGAUCUAGUGGCGGACGGGUGAGUAACACGUGAGCAAUCUGCCUUUCAGAGGGGGAUACCGAUUGGAAACGAUCGUUAAUACCGCAUAACAUAAUUGAACCGCAUGAUUUGAUUAUCAAAGAUUUAUCGCUGAAAGAUGAGCUCGCGUCUGAUUAGCUAGUUGGUAAGGUAACGGCUUACCAAAGCGACGAUCGGUAGCCGGACUGAGAGGUUGAUCGGCCACAUUGGGACUGAGACACGGCCCAGACUCCUACGGGAGGCAGCAGUGGGGAAUAUUGCACAAUGGAGGAAACUCUGAUGCAGCGAUGCCGCGUGAGGGAAGAAGGUUUUAGGAUUGUAAACCUCUGUCUUCAGGGACGAAAAAAGACGGUACCUGAGGAGGAAGCUCCGGCUAACUACGUG
rnacentral:rRNA from 1 species